rnacentral:rRNA from 1 species
UACAGAGACUGCGAGCGUUAUUCGGAUUCACUGGGCGUAAAGGGUGCGCAGGCGGCCGAGUGUGUGAGGCGUGAAAGCCCGGGGCUUAACCCCGGAAUUGCACCUCAAACUACACGGCUAGAGCAUUGGAGAGGGUAGCAGAAUUCAUGGUGUAGCAGUGAAAUGCGUAGAGAUCGGGAGGAACAUCUGUGGCGAAGGCGACUGCCUGGACCAGCACUGACACUGAGGCACGAAAGCGUGGGGAGCAAACAGG